rnacentral:rRNA from 1 species
UGGGGAAUAUUGCACAAUGGGCGCAAGCCUGAUGCAGCCAUGCCGCGUGUAUGAAGAAGGCCUUCGGGUUGUAAAGUACUUUCAGCGGGGAGGAAGGGAGUAAAGUUAAUACCUUUGCUCAUUGACGUUACCCGCAGAAGAAGCACCGGCUAACUUCGUGCCAGCAGCCGCGUUAAUACGGAUGGUUCAAGCGUUAAUCGGAAUUACUGGGCGUAAAGCGCACGCAGGCGGGUUGUUAAGUCAGAUGUGAAAUACCCGGGGUCAAACUGGGAACUGCAUGGGAUACUGGCAAGCUUUGGGCUCGUAAAGGGGGGUAGAAUUCCAGGUGGAGCGGUGAAAAGCGGAGGAAUCUGGAGGAAUACCGGUGGCGAAGGCGGCCCCCUGGACGAAGACUGACGCUCAGGUGCGAAAGCGUGGGGAGCAAACAGG